UCACAGAUCUGAAAUUCAGCAAAAAUGGAGUCUAAACACAAGAAAGAAAACCGACCAAAAAGUUUGUCCCAAAACCAAGAAUAUUUCUCCCCAAAGUCUCCAAAAUAAAAGACCCAAAAUCACCAAGAAUGGAGUCUUUCUCGCAGGGAAGAAGAGAGAGAGUUCGGACUUCAAAAUCAAAAUUAAUCUCUCAAAAUGUUGCUGCCGUCCAGUGAGAAUUGCAUCAGAAAUGAGAGUUAAUUUAGGGAAGAAGAAGACUGAAAAGGGAAGACUUGAACCCUAGUAAUU
rnacentral:lncRNA from 1 species